rnacentral:rRNA from 1 species
CCCUUAGAUGUUCUGGGCAGCACGCGCGCUACAAUGGUCUUCGCAAACGGAUGCAUUCUCGAAGGAGAAUGCCAAUCUUGGAAUCUAUGCCUUGGUCGGGACAGUUGCUUGCAAUUUUUCGACCCGGACCAGGAAUUCCUUGUAAUCGUGAUUCAUCACAUCACGAUGAAUACGUCCCUGCCCUUUGUACACACCGCCCGUCGCUCCUACCGAUCGAAGAGUUAGGUGAAUUGUUUUGAUCGAUAAGAUUUGACUAUGGUCAACUCUCGUUGUGAAAUUCUGUGAAUCUGACUGUUUAGAGGAAGGAAAAGUCGUAACA